GCCCUGGUAGCUCAAUUGGUUAGAGCGUCGGACUUUUACGGUUCCUGUUUACCGAGUCAUCCGAAGGCUGCGGGUUCGACCCCCGCCUGGGGCG